rnacentral:rRNA from 1 species
UACGGAGGGUGCAAGCGUUAUCCGGAUUCACUGGGUUUAAAGGGUGCGUAGGCGGGUAAGUAAGUCCGUGGUGAAAUCUCUGAGCUUAACUCAGAAACUGCCGUGGAUACUAUUUGCCUUGAAUAUUGUGGAGGUGAGCGGAAUAUGUCAUGUAGCGGUGAAAUGCUUAGAUAUGACAUAGAACACCAAUUGCGAAGGCAGCUCACUACACAAUCAUUGACGCUGAGGUGCGAAAGCGUGGGGAGCAAACAGG